UACGGAGGGUGCGAGCGUUGUCCGGAAUCACUGGGCGUAAAGGGCGCGUAGGUGGCACGGGGAGUCGUCGGUGAAAGCUCAGGGCUCAACCCUGAGUCGGCCGGUGAUACUCCCGAGCUCGAGUGUGGUAGAGGCCAAUGGAAUUCCGGGUGUAGCGGUGGAAUGCGUAGAGAUCCGGAAGAACACCGGUGGCGAAGGCGGUUGGCUGGGCCACAACUGACACUGAUGCGCGACAGCGUGGGGAGCAAACAGG
rnacentral:rRNA from 1 species